rnacentral:rRNA from 1 species
GAUGAACGCUAGCUACAGGCUUAACACAUGCAAGUCGAGGGGCAGCAUGGUCUUAGCUUGCUAAGGCCGAUGGCGACCGGCGCACGGGUGAGUAACACGUAUCCAACCUGCCGUCUACUCUUGGACAGCCUUCUGAAAGGAAGAUUAAUACAAGAUGGCAUCAUGAGUCCGCAUGUUCACAUGAUUAAAGGUAUUCCGGUAGACGAUGGGGAUGCGUUCCAUUAGAUAGUAGGCGGGGUAACGGCCCACCUAGUCUUCGAUGGAUAGGGGUUCUGAGAGGAAGGUCCCCCACAUUGGAACUGAGACACGGUCCAAACUCCUACUGGAGGCAGCAGUGAGGAAUAUUGGGCAAUGGGCGAGAGCCUGAACCAGCCAAGUAGCGUGAAGGAGGACUGCCCUAUGGGUUGUAAACUUCUUUUAUAAAGGAAUAAAGUCGGGUAUGGAUACCCGUUUGCAUGUACUUUAUGAAUAAGGAUCGGCUAACUCCGUG